rnacentral:rRNA from 1 species
GACGAACGCUGGCGGCGUGCUUAACACAUGCAAGUCGAACGGAAAGGCCCUGCUUUUGUGGGGUGCUCGAGCGGCGAACGGGUGAGUAACACGUGAGUAACCUGCCCUUGACUUUGGGAUAACUUCAGGAAACUGGGGCUAAUACCGGAUAGGAGCUCCUGCUGCAUGGUGGGGGUUGGAAAGUUUCGGCGGUUGGGGAUGGACUCGCGGCUUAUCAGCUUGUUGGUGGGGUAGUGGCUUACCAAGGCUUUGACGGGUAGCCGGCCUGAGAGGGUGACCGGCCACAUUGGGACUGAGAUACGGCCCAGAAUCCUACGGGAGGCAGCAGUGGGGAAUAUUGCAAAAUGGGCGGAAGCCUGAUGCAGCAACGCCGCGUGCGGGAUGACGGCCUUCGGGUUGUAAACCGCUUUCGCCUGUGACGAAGCGUGAGUGACGGUAAUGGGUAAAGAAGCACCGGCUAACUACGUG